rnacentral:tRNA from 1 species
GGAUUGUGGCUCAGUGGUAAAGCACUUGCCUAGCAUGUGUGAGGCUCUGUGUUCAAUUCUCAGCACCA